rnacentral:rRNA from 1 species
UCCGACCUCAGAUCGGACGAGAUUACCCCCUGAAUUUAAGCAUAGAAA